rnacentral:sRNA from 1 species
GCUGGGUGUGGUGGCACAAACCUGUAAUCCCAGCAACUAGAGAGGCUGAGUCAGGAGGAUCGCAGGUUUGAAGCCAGCCUCAGCAGUUUAAGGAGGCUGUGGGCAACCUAGCAAGACCCUGUCUCAA